GCGCCCAUAGUUCAAUGGAUAGAAUUUCAGAUUCCGGUUCUGAUGAUGGGGGUUCGAAUCCCUUUGGGCGCA
rnacentral:tRNA from 2 species